CUCCUUGUGAAGAAGGUAUCUGCCUCCCCUUUGCCUUCCACCAUGAUGGCUGUUGCGGGACCAGCCACUGCCAGGGUCACUUCUGUUCUUGUGUUCAGCUCCAGUCACCCGCACCAGUGACCUCUUCUCUGAAGGUCUGAGAUUUCUAAAAAUUAAACCUGAAUCUCCCUGUGAGUGGCUUAAUUACAACACAAAUUGAAUUUCCAACCCCACGAGGUGUUUUCUGUUAAAAUGAUUGGGAAGGAAUGGGAUCCUGAAAAUUGGAAUGAGGGCAUAUUGACAGAUCCCAAUGAAGCUGGGGACACUGAACCCUUGAAUUUGGACAGUUUUCUUGCUGGGAGAAGCAGCCAUCCACCCCUGUCUAAGGAGGUUAUCUGUUCUUCCUGAAGAAUCUAUAAUUGCCUUGCAAGGUUGAAACAUGAAACUGAAGGUGGCCUACAAUAAAUGAAGUUGAAAUGUCAGGAUUGCCUUGGUAUACUAUGGAGGAAGGCAUCUAAAGUCUUAGGGAGGUUGAAAUGUUUGAAUAGAUUUAUCAUGUAAGAACUGCUCAUCCAAUUGGAGAGUCCAGAAGACAUACCUUUUACCACAAUUAUGUAAGUUACAGGAUAUCAAAGGAGGAGAGUGAACAUCAUCCAAGGAUUUGGAGUCCUCUUCUGGGAAAAAGGUGAGAAUGCAGCAAGAAGACAUCUUCCAUGAACCAGGAAGUGAGCCUCACCAGACACAAAAUCCACUGUUG
rnacentral:lncRNA from 10 species